AACGCGCAUGGCACUCGCGGCCUCGGCUGCGAGUAUACCUGCUUGAGAAUCGGUUCCGAGUGCCACCGCUCUUUGCGGGCGGUGGCGAGCUGGCGGCUCUUGGCAGCAAGUCCGCUUAAAGGAAGCGUGUGGGGCCGGGGUCGUCACCCUAGCGCCGUGUGGUACGGGACAGUUUGUCUUUGCGAGCACGGAUGCAACGCUAGGGCGGCGGCCGCGGCGUGAACCUGCACGGACGCCCCGCAGGGGGCACAACGGCGCGAGCCGUGAUCAUUGAUCUCAAGUCAGGCAAGGCUACCCGCUGAACUUAA
rnacentral:misc_RNA from 1 species